rnacentral:rRNA from 1 species
GAUGAACGCUGGCGGCGUGCCUAACACAUGCAAGUCGAACGGGACUAUUUAGAGAUGUUUUCGGACUGAUCUUUUUAGUUUAGUGGCGGACGGGUGAGUAACGCGUGGACAACCUGCCUUUCACAGGGGGAUAGCAGCUGGAAACGGCUGGUAAUACCGCAUACGCUCAAUACACCGCAUGGUGUAAUGAGGAAAGAUUUAUCGGUGAAAGAUGGAUCCGCGUCUGAUUAGCCAGUUGGCGGGGUAACGGCCCACCAAAGCGACGAUCAGUAGCCGGCCUGAGAGGGCGGACGGCCACAUUGGGACUGAGACACGGCCCAG